CCUACGGGGAGCAGCAGUCGAGAAUCAUUCACAAUGGGGGAAACCCUGAUGGUGCGACGCCGCGUGGGGGAAUGAAGGUCUUCGGAUUGUAAACCCCUGUCAUGUGGGAGCAAAUUAAAAAGAUAGUACCAAAAGGGGAAGGGACGGCUAACUCUGUGCAAGCAGCCGCGGUAAUACAGAGGUCUCAAGCGUUGUUCGGAAUCACUGGGCGUAAAGCGUGCGUAGGCUGUUUCGUAAGUCGUGUGUGAAAGGCGCGGGCUCAACCCGCGGACGGCACAUGAUACUGCGAGACUAGAGUAAGGGAGGGGGAACCGGAAUUCUCGGUGUAGCAGUGAAAUGCGUAGAUAUCGAGAGGAACACUCGUGGCGAAGGCGGGUUCCUGGACAUUAACUGACGCUGAGGCACGAAGGCCAGGGGAGCGAAAGGGAUUAGAUACCCGAGUAGUC
rnacentral:rRNA from 1 species